UAUUAAAACCUGAAUAUUUUUAUUAGUUUGUAUUUUACUAUAAGUGUAUACUGUGUGAAUGCUUACAUAAAUUAAAAGUUCAGUUUACACAAACGAAUAAACUGCGAGUGACAUUCACCAAUGUGAUGCCUCAUUCUUAACCUUUUUUUUCAUCUGUAAAUUUCAACACUUCAUCAGAAGAAAUGCAAAAAUCAUCUGCAUUUUCUUGUGUUAAAACAUUUGAACUAAAACUAUGAAAUUGAAUGAAAUGUGCAUAGUUGAAUUAUUAAACGAUAAUGUUUUUCUGAAUGAAAAAAUUCUGAGCUGAAAAAUUUAAAUAAUUUUCAGAAACUAAUCUAUUGCAUUUUUAUUGGACAAUUUCUGAUUCAAGAGAGGAAGCCAUUACAAAACCUAAAUAUUGAAAUGCGAAGAGAAUGCUGAGGACCUUCAAGAAAUAGAGAGAAAAAAAAUUAUCUCACAGCUGCAUAAUAAUGCAGAUUCAAUAGGAACAUCAACAACUGCAGAGAAGAGAGAUAAGUCUUCAUCAAAGACUAGAAAUGAUGAUGUG